CCCGGUUUAAGCGUGUAGGCUGGUUUUCCAGGCAAAUCCGGAAAAUCAAGGCUGAGGCGUGAUGACGAGGCACUACGGUGCUGAAGCAACAAAUGCCCUGCUUCCAGGAAAAGCCUCUAAGCAUCAGGUAACAUCAAAUCGUACCCCAAACCGACACAGGUGGUCAGGUAGAGAAUACCAAGGCGCUUGAGAGAACUCGGGUGAAGGAACUAGGCAAAAUGGUGCCGUAACUUCGGGAGAAGGCACGCUGAUAUGUAGGUGAAGCGACUUGCUCGUGGAGCUGAAAUCAGUCGAAGAUACCAGCUGGCUGCAACUGUUUAUUAAAAACACAGCACUGUGCAAACACGAAAGUGGACGUAUACGGUGUGACGCCUGCCCGGUGCCGGAAGGUUAAUUGAUGGGGUUAGCGGUAACGCGAAGCUCUUGAUCGAAGCCCCGGUAAACGGCGGCCGUAACUAUAACGGUCCUAAGGUAGCGAAAUUCCUUGUCGGGUAAGUUCCGACCUGCACGAAUGGCGUAAUGAUGGCCAGGCUGUCUCCACCCGAGACUCAGUGAAAUUGAACUCGCUGUGAAGAUGCAGUGUACCCGCGGCAAGACGGAAAGACCCCGUGAACCUUUACUAUAGCUUGACACUGAACAUUGAGCCUUGAUGUGUAGGAUAGGUGGGAGGCUUUGAAGUGUGGACGCCAGUCUGCAUGGAGCCGACCUUGAAAUACCACCCUUUAAUGUUUGAUGUUCUAACGUUGGCCCGUUAUCCGGGUUGCGGACAGUGUCUGGUGGGUAGUUUGACUGGGGCGGUCUCCUCCUAAAGAGUAACGGAGGAGCACGAAGGUUGGCUAAUCCUGGUCGGACAUCAGGAGGUUAGUGCAAUGGCAUAAGCCAGCUUGACUGCGAGCGUGACGGCGCGAGCAGGUGCGAAAGCAGGUCAUAGUGAUCCGGUGGUUCUGAAUGGAAGGGCCAUCGCUCAACGGAUAAAAGGUACUCCGGGGAUAACAGGCUGAUACCGCCCAAGAGUUCAUAUCGACGGCGGUGUUUGGCACCUCGAUGUCGGCUCAUCACAUCCUGGGGCUGAAGUAGGUCCCAAGGGUAUGGCUGUUCGCCAUUUAAAGUGGUACGCGAGCUGGGUUUAGAACGUCGUGAGACAGUUCGGUCCCUAUCUGCCGUGGGCGCUGGAGAACUGAGGGGGGCUGCUCCUAGUACGAGAGGACCGGAGUGGACGCAUCACUGGUGUUCGGGUUGUCAUGCCAAUGGCACUGCCCGGUAGCUAAAUGCGGAAGAGAUAAGUGCUGAAAGCAUCUAAGCACGAAACUUGCCCCG
rnacentral:rRNA from 1 species